UGGCGGACGGGUGAGUAACGCGUGAGAAUCUGCCUUUAGAUCGGGACAACCAUUGGAAACGAUGGCUAAUACCGGAUAAGCCGAGAGGUGAAAGAUUAAUUGUCUAGAGAAGAGCUCGCGUCUGAUUAGCUAGUUGGUGGGGUAAAGGCCUACCAAGGCGACGAUCAGUAGCUGGUCUGAGAGGAUGAUCAGCCACACUGGGACUGAGACACGGCCCAG
rnacentral:rRNA from 1 species